UUGUCUCUCUUGAGUGGAUCCUGAGUACGACGGAGCACGUGAAAUUCCGUCGGAAUCUGGGAGGACCAUCUCCUAAGGCUAAAUACUCUCUAGUGACCGAUAGUGAACCAGUACCGUGAGGGAAAGGUGAAAAGCACCCCGGAAGGGGAGUGAAAUAGAACCUGAAACCGUGUGCUUACAAGUAGUCAGAGCCCGUUAAUGGGUGAUGGCGUGCCUUUUGUAGAAUGAACCGGCGAGUUACGAUUUGAUGCAAGGUUAAGCAGUAAAUGUGGAGCCGUAGCGAAAGCGAGUCUGAAUAGGGCGUUUAGUAUUUGGUCGUAGACCCGAAACCAGGUGAUCUACCCUUGGUCAGGUUGAAGUUCAGGUAACACUGAAUGGAGGACCGAACCGACUUACGUUGAAAAGUGAGCGGAUGAACUGAGGGUAGCGGAGAAAUUCCAAUCGAACCUGGAGAUAGCUGGUUCUCUCCGAAAUAGCUUUAGGGCUAGCCUCAAGUGAUGAUUAUUGGAGGUAGAGCACUGUUUGGACGAGGGGCCCCUCUCGGGUUACCGAAUUCAGACAAACUCCGAAUGCCAAUUAAUUUAACUUGGGAGUCAGAACAUGGGUGAUAAGGUCCGUGUUCGAAAGGGAAACAGCCCAGACCACCAGCUAAGGUCCCAAAAUAUAUGUUAAGUGGAAAAGGAUGUGGCGUUGCCCAGACAACUAGGAUGUUGGCUUAGAAGCAGCCAUCAUUUAAAGAGUGCGUAAUAGCUCACUAGUCGAGUGACACUGCGCCGAAAAUGUACCGGGGCUAAACAUAUUACCGAAGCUGUGGAUUGUCCUUUGGACAAUGGUAGGAGAGCGUUCUAAGGGCGUUGAAGCAUGAUCGUAAGGACAUGUGGAGCGCUUAGAAGUGAGAAUGCCGGUGUGAGUAGCGAAAGACGGGUGAGAAUCCCGUCCACCGAUUGACUAAGGUUUCCAGAGGAAGGCUCGUCCGCUCUGGGUUAGUCGGGUCCUAAGCUGAGGCCGACAGGCGUAGGCGAUGGAUAACAGGUUGAUAUUCCUGUACCACCUAUAAUCGUUUUAAUCGAUGGGGGGACGCAGUAGGAUAGGCGAAGCGUGCGAUUGGAUUGCACGUCUAAGCAGUAAGGCUGAGUAUUAGGCAAAUCCGGUACUCGUUAAGGCUGAGCUGUGAUGGGGAGAAGACAUUGUGUCUUCGAGUCGUUGAUUUCACACUGCCGAGAAAAGCCUCUAGAUAGAAAAUAGGUGCCCGUACCGCAAACCGACACAGGUAGUCAAGAUGAGAAUUCUAAGGUGAGCGAGCGAACUCUCGUUAAGGAACUCGGCAAAAUGACCCCGUAACUUCGGGAGAAGGGGUGCUCUUUAGGGUUAACGCCCAGAAGAGCCGCAGUGAAUAGGCCCAAGCGACUGUUUAUCAAAAACACAGGUCUCUGCUAAACCGUAAGGUGAUGUAUAGGGGCUGACGCCUGCCCGGUGCUGGAAGGUUAAGAGGAGUGGUUAGCUUCUGCGAAGCUACGAAUCGAAGCCCCAGUAAACGGCGGCCGUAACUAUAACGGUCCUAAGGUAGCGAAAUUCCUUGUCGGGUAAGUUCCGACCCGCACGAAAGGCGUAACGAUUUGGGCACUGUCUCAACGAGAGACUCGGUGAAAUCAUAGUACCUGUGAAGAUGCAGGUUACCCGCGACAGGACGGAAAGACCCCGUGGAGCUUUACUGUAGCCUGAUAUUGAAAUUCGGCACAGCUUGUACAGGAUAGGUAGGAGCCUUUGAAACGUGAGCGCUAGCUUACGUGGAGGCGCUGGUGGGAUACUACCCUAGCUGUGUUGGCUUUCUAACCCGCACCACUUAUCGUGGUGGGAGACAGUGUCAGGCGGGCAGUUUGACUGGGGCGGUCGCCUCCUAAAAGGUAACGGAGGCGCUCAAAGGUUCCCUCAGAAUGGUUGGAAAUCAUUCAUAGAGUGUAAAGGCAUAAGGGAGCUUGACUGCGAGACCUACAAGUCGAGCAGGGUCGAAAGACGGACUUAGUGAUCCGGUGGUU
rnacentral:rRNA from 1 species